rnacentral:rRNA from 1 species
AGCGAACGCUGGCGGCAGGCCUAACACAUGCAAGUCGAACGAAGUCUUCGGACUUAGUGGCGGACGGGUGAGUAACACGUGGGAACGUGCCUUUAGGUUCGGAAUAACUCAGGGAAACUUGUGCUAAUACCGAAUGUGCCCUUCGGGGGAAAGAUUUAUCGCCUAUAGAGCGGCCCGCGUCUGAUUAGCUAGUUGGUGAGGUAAAGGCUCACCAAGGCGACGAUCAGUAGCUGGUCUGAGAGGAUGAUCAGCCACAUUGGGACUGAGACACGGCCCAAACUCCUACGGGAGGCAGCAGUGGGGAAUCUUGCGCAAUGGGCGAAAGCCUGACGCAGCCAUGCCGCGUGAAUGAUGAAGGUCUUAGGAUUGUAAAAUUCUUUCACCGGGGACGAUAAUGACGGUACCCGGAGAAGAAGCCCCGGCUAACUUCGUGCCAGCAGCCGCCGUAAUAC